UACGAAGGGGGGCUAGCGUUGCUCGGAAUUACUGGGCGUAAAGCGCACGUAGGCGGAUUGUUAAGUCAGGGGUGAAAUCCUGGAGCUCAACUCCAGAACUGCCAUUGAAACUGUAAAACUUGAGGAUGAGAGAGGUGAGUGGAAUUCCCAGUGUAGAGGUGAAAUUCGUAGAUAUUGGGAAGAACACCGGUGGCGAAGGCGGCUCACUGGCUCAUUUCUGACGCUCAGGCGCGACAGCGUGGGGAUCAAACAGG
rnacentral:rRNA from 1 species